UACGUAGGGUGCAAGCGUUGUCCGGAAUUAUUGGGCGUAAAGAGCUUGUAGGCGGUUUGUCGCGUCUGCUGUGAAAUUUCGGGGCUCAACCCCGAACUUGCAGUGGGUACGGGCAGACUAGAGUGUGGUAGGGGAGACUGGAAUUCCUGGUGUAGCGGUGAAAUGCGCAGAUAUCAGGAGGAACACCGGUGGCGAAGGCGGGUCUCUGGGCCAUAACUGACGCUGAGGAGCGAAAGCGUGGGGAGCGAACAGG
rnacentral:rRNA from 1 species